UACGUAGGGUGCAAGCGUUAAUCGGAAUUACUGGGCGUAAAGCGUGCGCAGGCGGUUCGUUGUGUCGGUGGUGAAAGCCCCGGGCUUAACCUGGGGAUGGCCAUGGAAACUGGCGAACUGGAGUGUGGCAGAGGGGGGUGGAAUUCCGCGGUGUAGCAGUGAAAUGCGUAGAGAUGCGGAGGAACACCGAUGGCGAAGGCAGCCCCCUGGGCUGAGCACUGACGCCUCAGGCACGAAAGCGUGGGGAGCAAACAGG
rnacentral:rRNA from 1 species